rnacentral:rRNA from 1 species
CAGAGUGGAUCCUGAGUACGGCGGAACACGUGAAAUUCCGUCGGAAUCCGGGAGGACCAUCUCCCAAGGCUAAAUACUCCCUAGUGACCGAUAGUGAACCAGUACCGUGAGGGAAAGGUGAAAAGCACCCCGGAAGGGGAGUGAAAUAGAUCCUGAAACCGUGUGCCUACAAGUAGUCAGAGCCCGUUAAAGGGUGAUGGCGUGCCUUUUGUAGAAUGAACCGGCGAGUUACGAUCCCGUGCAAGGUUAAGCAGAAGAUGCGGAGCCGCAGCGAAAGCGAGUCUGAAUAGGGCGCAUGAGUACGUGGUCGUAGACCCGAAACCAGGUGAUCUACCCAUGUCCAGGGUGAAGUUCAGGUAACACUGAAUGGAGGCCCGAACCCACGCACGUUGAAAAGUGCGGGGAUGAGGUGUGGGUAGGGGUGAAAUGCCAAUCGAACCUGGAGAUAGCUGGUUCUCUCCGAAAUAGCUUUAGGGCUAGCCUCAAGGUAAGAGUCUCGGAGGUAGAGCACUGAUUGGACUAGGGGCCCCUACCGGGUUACCGAAUUCAGUCAAACUCCGAAUGCCGAUGACUUAUCCUUGGGAGUCAGACUGCGAGUGAUAAGAUCCGUAGUCGAAAGGGAAACAGCCCAGACCGCCAGCUAAGGUCCCAAAGUAUACGUUAAGUGGAAAAGGAUGUGGAGUUGCUUAGACAACCAGGAUGUUGGCUUAGAAGCAGCCACCAUUUAAAGAGUGCGUAAUAGCUCACUGGUCGAGUGACUCUGCGCCGAAAAUGUACCGGGGCUAAACGUAUCACCGAAGCUGCGGACUGUUCUAACGAACAGUGGUAGGAGAGCGUUCUAAGUGCUGUGAAGUCAGACCGGAAGGACUGGUGGAGCGCUUAGAAGUGAGAAUGCCGGUAUGAGUAGCGAAAGACGGGUGAGAAUCCCGUCCACCGAAUGCCUAAGGUUUCCUGAGGAAGGCUCGUCCGCUCAGGGUUAGUCGGGACCUAAGCCGAGGCCGAAAGGCGUAGGCGAUGGACAACAGGUUGAUAUUCCUGUACCACCUCCUCACCAUUUGAGCAAUGGGGGGACGCAGGAGGAUAGGGUAAGCGCGGUAUUGGAUAUCCGCGUCCAAGCAGUUAGGCUGGGAAAUAGGCAAAUCCGUUUCCCGUGAAGGCUGAGCUGUGAUGGCGAGCGAAAUUUAGUAGCGAAGUUCCUGAUUCCACACUGCCAAGAAAAGCCUCUAGCGAGGUGAGAGGUGCCCGUACCGCAAACCGACACAGGUAGGCGAGGAGAGAAUCCUAAGGUGAUCGAGAGAACUCUCGUUAAGGAACUCGGCAAAAUGACCCCGUAACUUCGGGAGAAGGGGUGCUUCUUAGGGUGUUAAAGCCCCGAGAAGCCGCAGUGAAUAGGCCCAGGCGACUGUUUAGCAAAAACACAGGUCUCUGCGAAGCCGUAAGGCGAAGUAUAGGGGCUGACGCCUGCCCGGUGCUGGAAGGUUAAGAGGAGCGCUUAGCGUAAGCGAAGGUGCGAAUUGAAGCCCCAGUAAACGGCGGCCGUAACUAUAACGGUCCUAAGGUAGCGAAAUUCCUUGUCGGGUAAGUUCCGACCCGCACGAAAGGCGCAACGAUCUGGGCACUGUCUCAACGAGAGACUCGGUGAAAUUAUAGUACCUGUGAAGAUGCAGGUUACCCGCGACAGGACGGAAAGACCCCGUGGAGCUUUACUGCAGCCUGAUAUUGAAUGUUGGUACAGCUUGUACAGGAUAGGUAGGAGCCUUGGAAACCGGAGCGCUAGCUUCGGUGGAGGCAUCGGUGGGAUACUACCCUGGCUGUAUUGACCUUCUAACCCGCUGCCCUUAUCGGGCAGGGAGACAGUGUCAGGUGGGCAGUUUGACUGGGGCGGUCGCCUCCUAAAAUGUAACGGAGGCGCCCAAAGGUUCCCUCAGAAUGGUUGGAAAUCAUUCGCAGAGUGUAAAGGCACAAGGGAGCUUGACUGCGAGACCUACAAGUCGAGCAGGGACGAAAGUCGGGCUUAGUGAUCCGGUG